UACGUAGGGUGCAAGCGUUAAUCGGAAUUACUGGGCGUAAAGCGUGCGCAGGCGGUUCGGAAAGAAAGAUGUGAAAUCCCAGGGCUUAACCUUGGAACUGCAUUUUUAACUGCCGGGCUAGAGUAUGUCAGAGGGGGGUAGAAUUCCACGUGUAGCAGUGAAAUGCGUAGAGAUGUGGAGGAAUACCGAUGGCGAAGGCAGCCCCCUGGGAUAAUACUGACGCUCAUGCACGAAAGCGUGGGGAGCAAAUAGG
rnacentral:rRNA from 1 species